rnacentral:tRNA from 2 species
GUCCCCGUAGCGCAAUGGAUAGAGCGCAAGCCUCCGAAGCUUGAAGUGUGAGUUCGAGCCUCACCGGGGACACCA